GAUGAACGCUGGCGGCGUGCCUAAUACAUGCGAGUCGAGCGAACGGACGAGAAGCUUGCUUCUCUGAUGUUAGCGGCGGACGGGUGAGUAACACGUGGAUAACCUACCUAUAAGACUGGGAUAACUUCGGGAAACCGGAGCUAAUACCGGAUAAUAUUUUGAACCGCAUGGUUCAAAAGUGAAAGACGGUCUUGCUGUCACUUAUAGAUGGAUCCGCGCUGCAUUAGCUAGUUGGUAAGGUAACGGCUUACCAAGGCAACGAUGCAUAGCCGACCUGAGAGGGUGAUCGGCCACACUGGAACUGAGACACGGUCCAGACUCCUACGGGAGGCAGCAGUAGGGAAUCUUCCGCAAUGGGCGAAAGCCUGACGGAGCAACGCCGCGUGAGUGAUGAAGGUCUUCGGAUCGUAAAACUCUAUUAUUAGGGAAGAACAUAUGUGUAAGUAACUGUGCACAUCUUGACGGUACCUAAUCAGAAAGCCACGGCUAACUACGUG
rnacentral:rRNA from 1 species